UACGAAGGGGGCGAGCGUUGUUCGGAUUUACUGGGCGUAAAGGGCUCGUAGGUGGCCAACUAAGUCAGACGUGAAAUCCCUCGGCUUAACCGGGGAACUGCGUCUGAUACUGGAUGGCUUGAGUUUGGGAGAGGGACGCGGAAUUCCAGGUGUAGCGGUGAAAUGCGUAGAUAUCAGGAAGAACACCCGUGGCGAAAGCGGCUCUCUGGAACGGUACUGACGCUGAGACGCGAAAGCGUGGGGAGCGAACAGG
rnacentral:rRNA from 1 species